AACGAACGCUGGGGCAGGCUUAACACAUGCAAGUCGAACGCAUCCUUCGGGGUGAGUGGCAGACGGGUGAGUAACGCGUGGGAACGUGCCCUUCAGUUCGGGAUAACCCAGGGAAACUUGGGCUAAUACCGGAUACGUGCGAGAGCAGAAAGAUUUAUCGCUGAAGGAUCGGCCCGCGUCUGAUUAGCUAGUUGGUGGGGUAAUGGCCCACCAAGGCGACGAUCAGUAGCUGGUCUGAGAGGAUGAUCAGCCACAUUGGGACUGAGACACGGCCCAAACUCCUACGGGAGGCAGCAGUGGGGAAUAUUGGACAAUGGGCGCAAGCCUGAUCCAGCCAUGCCGCGGGAGUGAUGAAGGCCUUAGGGUUGUAAAGCUCUUUCGUCCGGGACGAUAAUGACGGUACCGGAAGAAGAAGCCCCGGCUAACUUCGUGCCAGCAGCCGCCGUAAAAC
rnacentral:rRNA from 1 species